AGUGUAUGUGAUGCACACCGGCAAAUUUAUCUGAUAAAAAUGUCAAAAUAAAAUUUUAGAAUCAAAUUUCAUUAAUUAAAUUUAUGUUAUAGUAUUUUAAAUGUCUUAUAUUAAAAUAAAAUAAAAAUUAUUAUAGGAUCUAUGGUACACCAGGUACAACGUAAAUAUAAAUGGGACACAUGUCAACACAGAGAUAUUACCCCACUCACUUUAACACGUGGCAGUAUUGCAACCUCACUUCACGGACUUUAAUUAGAAGAAUAUAUGUAGAACAGAUGCACCCAAGACCCUCCUAUAUAUGAACCAUAUAUAUAUCCACAGUUACCGGUCUAUGGUACACGAGGUGCACCGAAAGGAAUCCGACGACACGUGGCAACAUAGCAAUGUCACUUCGCGGACUUUAGUAUAUAGUAAUAGUAAUAGAUACUUUUAUUACAAUAUUAGUUAUUUUUUAUAUUUGCAAAAUCUAGCAGUGGAUCGACCACCUGCAUAUAUACUACAUACUACGUUUAUUAAUUAAAAAAAAUAAGUAUUUAUAAUUUGACUUUUUACGUAUAUACAUGUCACACUCCAAUAAUUCCACAUCGGAUAUGAAUGGCGAUGCGAUUGGAUAUAUAAGAUAUUAGACACUAGUAAUAAUAACUGAGCUUAAGCAUUUUGGGCCGGUGGUUGGGCCCAACGAGUUAUUGUUGCUAGUGGGUAAGGUCGUUACAUUUGGUAUCAGAGCCAGUUCACCAGCCGAAAAUGUGUGGCGAGUCUCGGCUACGCUAGGGUCUGAAAGAUAAGGUGAUAGGCUAUGCCGGAGUCUGAAUGAUAAGGUGGCCUGCUAUGCCAGAGUCUGAAUGACAAAGCUAGCGAGAUGAGUCUCACAUCGCUUGGUGAUCUUGGGCUAUGUGUGUGAUUGGACUGACGAGGACGUCAGGGCUUUAACGGGGGAAGUAAUCCCACAUCAGAUAUGAGGGUAUAUAAAAGUGAUUUCUGAAAAAGUGAUUUUGGUUUAGAAAAGUGAUUUCUGUUAAAAGCUGUAGAGCGUUUGGCUGAGUCUGAUAGAAAAGUGAUUGUGUUGAAGUGAUUUUAGAAAGCUGUUUGGCAGUGAAAAAGAAAUGGAAUUAAUGCUUCAAAUUGAACAAGAAGUGUGCAAAAAAAAGCAGAUUCUACAAAUGAAAACAAAAAUACAGCAUGUGAGAUGGGCCUCCUCUUCGACCACA
rnacentral:lncRNA from 1 species